rnacentral:rRNA from 1 species
GACGAACGCUGGCGGCGUGCUUAACACAUGCAAGUCGAUCGGAGAGGCCCUGCUUUUGUGGGGUGCUCGAGUGGCGAACGGGUGAGUAACACGUGAGUAACCUGCCCUUGACUUUGGGAUAACUUCAGGAAACUGGGGCUAAUACCGGAUAGGAGCUCCUGCUGCAUGGUGGGGGUUGGAAAGUUUCGGCGGUUGGGGAUGGACUCGCGGCUUAUCAGCUUGUUGGUGGGGUAGUGGCUUACCAAGGCUUUGACGGGUAGCCGGCCUGAGAGGGUGACCGGCCACAUUGGGACUGAGAUACGGCCCAGACUCCUACGGGAGGCAGCAGUGGGGAAUAUUGCACAAUGGGCGGAAGCCUGAUGCAGCAACGCCGCGUGCGGGAUGACGGCCUUCGGGUUGUAAACCGCUUUCGCCUGUGACGAAGCGUGAGUGACGGUAAUGGGUAAAGAAGCACCGGCUAACUACGUG